GUUCCUAUGGUGUUAUUUUUGCAGCACAUUAGAUUUUCAUUCUAAAGGUAUAAAUUUAUUUAUUGGGAAUA
rnacentral:tRNA from 1 species